rnacentral:rRNA from 1 species
CCUACGGGAGGCAGCAGUGGGGAAUUUUGGACAAUGGGCGCAAGCCUGAUCCAGCAAUGCCGCGUGAGUGAAGAAGGCCUUCGGGUUGUAAAGCUCUUUUGUCAGGGAAGAAACGGCCGAGGCUAAUACCUUUGGCUAAUGACGGUACCUGAAGAAUAAGCACCGGCUAACUACGUGCCAGCAGCCGCGGUAAUACGUAGGGUGCAAGCGUUAAUCGGAAUUACUGGGCGUAAAGCGUGCGCAGGCGGUUUUGUAAGUCUGACGUGAAAUCCCCGGGCUCAACCUGGGAAUUGCGUUGGAGACUGCAAGGCUGGAGUCUGGCAGAGGGGGGUAGAAUUCCACGUGUAGCAGUGAAAUGCGUAGAGAUGUGGAGGAACACCGAUGGCGAGGGCAGCCCCCUGGGUCAAGACUGACGCUCAUGCACGAAAGCGUGGGGAGCAAACAGGAUUAGAUACCCUGGUAGUCCACGCCCUAAACGAUGUCUACUAGUUGUCGGGUCUUAAUUGACUUGGUAACGCAGCUAACGCGUGAAGUAGACCGCCUGGGGAGUACGGUCGCAAGAUUAAAACUCAAAAUGAAAUUGAACGGCUGAGACGUAGACCGAACGGACGACGACGAGGGAGGAGGG